AGCAGCCGCGGUAAUUCCAGCUCCAAUAGCGUAUAUUAAAGUUGUUGCAGUUAAAAAGCUCGUAGUUGAAUUUCGGGAUUAGUACGCUGGUCGUGCCUUCGGUAUGUACUGGUGUUACUGGUUCCUACCUUCUGACGAACCGUCAUGUCAUUAAUUUGGUGUGGCGGGAAAUCAGGACUGUUACUUUGAAAAAAUUAGAGUGUUUAAAGCAGGCUCGCGCUUGAAUACAUUAGCAUGGAAUAAUGAAAUAGGACGUUCGAUCCUAUUUUGUUGGUUUCUAGGAUUGACGUAAUGAUUAAUAGGGAUAGUUGGGGGCAUUAGUAUUCAAUUGUCAGAGGUGUAAUUCUUGGAUUUAUUGAAGACUAACUACUGCGAAAGCAUUUGCCAAGGAUGUUUUCAUUAAUCAAGAACGAAAGUUAGGGGAUCGAAGACGAUCAGAUACCGUCGUAGUCUUAACCAUAAACUAUGCCGACUAGGGAUCGGAUGAUGUUAUUUUAAUGACUCAUUCGGCGCCUUACGG
rnacentral:rRNA from 1 species